GACGUCGGGAAAAGCCGGGCGCGAGGAGCUUUAAAGGAGAAAGCGCUCCUUCGCGGAAAGCUUCCAUCUCCAAGGAUUCGGCUUCAGUGCUAAGCUUAUCAUAGAGAAACCUACCAGAGCCAAACUUCAAGUUUUGCCUCGCAGAAGCACAAAGAAAUGUCAGGUCAUUAAUUAAGCUUCGUGUUAGUAUCAGCAAGUAUCGAUGGAUUGUUAGGGGGAAUGGGGAAGGUCUUUAAACUUCAUUAUGACUUACUGCCAACUUUCUGCGCUUUGCUUCCUAAAGGCGCUCUCUGUGAAUUUCCUGCAUUUGCAUUAGAAUGCAUUUAGGAUGAAAAAAAUAACAGUGCUGAGUAUACUUAGGAUUUCGUGCUAUAUUUCCCUGUAGUAACAGGUGACAUGAUAAUAUUGUUAAACUACAAUGUGGAAUUGCAAGUGUGCAACCCCAAGUGAAAAUUGUUCUCUUUCUUGGUUGAAAGCAAAUUAUCAAUCAGCAUACCUUGAUCAAUUAUCCCCCUGGCUGCCACACACUGGGAUUUGCACAAGGCAUUGACAUUGAGAAAUUCCUCUUUAGAAAGGAUGAGCGGACGGGAUCCCAAACUUUGCAGCAGCCAAGCUAAGCUGCCGGGGUCUCACUUUUUUUUUUUUUUUUCCGCUAUUGUUGCUUUCCAGCUCAUCCAAGACAAAACUAGGAGAUUGUGUUUACUUCUCAGUGCAUUUUAAAAGAUGCUGUAUUUAAAAAAAAAAAAAAGGGGGGGGGGGGGGGGGAAACAAAGAAACACAAAAGCACAAAGAAAAAGCAAGUGAGGGAGCCUCGGGAAGAGCCGCACACCCCUCUCCCCUCGGUGCUCACCGUUGUUGGUAGGAGGUGAUGCCCUGGACGUUUUGCGGGUUGCCGUUGGCCGCGGCGCCGGCUCGCCCCAUACCCGGCGCCGCCGGCACCCCCCCGGCCGCCCCGCCGGCCGCCGCCGUCACCUGCACGCUGAAAUCCGGGAAGAUCCUGAUCAUCCCCGCGGCUCAGCACCCGGAGACUGUCGGCGAAGAGGUGCAGCAGCGGCGACUCUCCCUCCGGCGGCUGCAGCAGCAGAGCCAGGCACGCUGCAAUCCCAUUAGUGAAAAAAUCUCUCUUCUCUGGAAAUUCAUUUCCAUUUACUUAAAUGGUUUGACUUUGAAUUUUCAUUAUCUGCUGUUGGAAGGAGCCUGUGACAGGAGACCCACAGAAUCUUUAAGGAAAAGGAUCUUUACCUCUGAGCCCGGUAACUCAAGCCUUCACCAGCUAUGGAAUUGCAUCUGUCUAGGAAAUAUUUGCAAACAAAAAGGUACUCCUCUGUACUUCGAUGCAGCAUCCUGUUCUUGGUACGCGGUUAAAACAGAUCACCAGUUCUGCUUUAUUUUUUUUUCCCCAAUAAACUAUGUUUAUUAUGCCAAUUCUAAUUACCAUGCAAUCUAA
rnacentral:lncRNA from 1 species